CUAGUGGCCAGUUUUAGCAAGGUAUAAAAUGGAGGAGACGGUGAGCCCUGUGAGCUCACCUGUGCGCUUCUCAAUCACCUUUUCCUUUGUCUCCGCCGGAUGGAUGCUGCGUCUGGCUUAUCUGUGGUUCUCCGAGAGGCAGAUGGCUCUCCAAACGGCACCUUCAACAUAACAAACAGUUAGCUCCUUUAUAAUGGAACGAGGUGUGUGAACAACGAGUAAGUGCUGCAGAGUUUAUGAGGAUAUGGAGUAAGCGGUUGAAGCAAAUCCGUCCUAGGGCGUCCCUUGGGCUUAAAUAGAGGAUUGAAAGCCUUGACACAUACAAUAAAAUUGCAUAAUUUUCCACUUUGCUGCUAAAAUAAGAUCUUGUAUUGAUGAUGGGAGAGUCGGACCACUGCGCAAAGCCUUCUUCAGCACAUCCCAAAGAUUCUCAAUGGGGUAAAGGUCUGGACUCUGUGGUGGUCAAUCCAUGUGUGAAUGAUGUCUCAUGCGCCCUGAACCACUCUUUCACAAUCUGAGCCCGAUGAAUCCUGGCAUUGUCAUCUUGGAAUAUGCCCGUGCCAUCAGGAAAGAGGAAAUCCAUUGGUGGAGGAACGUGGUCAUUCAGUAUAUUCAUGUAGUCAGCUGACCUCAUUCUUUGGCCACAUCAUGUCGCUGGACCUCACCUGCAUCUCUUCUUACCCUGAUGCAGCAUCACUCUGGAACAGGGUAAAUCUGGACUCAUCAGACCACAUGAGCUCCUCUAUUGCUCCACAGUACACUCUUUAUGCUCCCUAGCUAACAGAAGCCUUUUUUUCAAUUAGCCUCACUGAUAAUUGGUUUUCUUAAGGCUACUCAGCUGUUCAGUCCCAGUCCUGUGUGUGGAAAUGCUCUUACUAUUAAACAUAGCCCUAAGUUCUACUGUUGUUUUUCUACAAUUCAGGAUUUUUUUCCUGACCACAUUUCUUCCUCAAAGACAAUGGUUCCCUACUAUCCUUCCAGUUUUUAAUAAUGCUUUGGACAGUUCUUAACCCAAUUUUAGGAGUUUCUACAAUCUCCUUAGAUGUUUGCUCUACUUGAUGCAUGCAGAUGAUUUGACCCUUCUCAAACAGACAACAUCUUUUCCACGACCAUGUGAUGUAUCCUUCGACAUGGCUGUUUAAUGACAGUAUGCACUUCUUGUUGAACUUGUAUGCACAUUAUGGAAAUCUUAGUGUUAUGAGUGGGUUGCUAUACUUUUUAAGUGUGGAAAUGUUCAUUUAAAGGCCUAAUGUACUGAGUUAGCUAGUUAGCCUCUGUGCUGAAAUAACUUGCUAUUCUUUGUCGUGUGCUGUGUGAGCUGCCUUACUGAGCCAACAGUAUGACUGUACAGAUAAUAAACUGCAGCAUAAAGGACA